UGAUUACACGAUAUAAAUUUAAAUUUCUAGUUAAUAUGACAGAAGUUAUGUCCAGGAUGAAGCAUUUUCCGAGCAGAUUGGUCAAAAUGUUCAAUAGUAUGAAGAACCAGUUCAGGGAGAAGACGGGGAGGGAAUUGCCAAAAUUCACCCCGCAGAAAGGUGGCCUUUCUAGGCAGUCCAGGCAAGGAUCAGAGAGCAGUGUUUGCAGUCUUGUUCUGGACGGUGCUCAACAGCAAGUCCCGCCAGCACCCUCUCCGACUUUGCCACCCCAAGAACCACCACAGAUUAAACUGCUUGAUGGAAAGGUGUUAAGUCCCAAAGAAGUGAAUGUUCUUGCAAAGAAAGAGGACGAGUGGAGAAACAGGCUUGAAAAGACUGUCACAGAGUGGACCAAAAAACUAGAAAAACGGGAAAACGAGCUACAGCAAUCUUUUGUCGUCAAAGAAGAGGAAUGGAGGAAAAAGGAGUGUGCAUUAACUGAGGACCUUCUAAAGCAGACAAAUGAAUUGCAAGAGGCUCUGAAAGUGGCUGAAGAGAUGAAAAGGCUAAAUUUUCUAUAUCAAGAAGAUAAACACACAUUGGAAAGCUUCCAGACUCAAGAAAUGGCCAAAGUGAAACAUUUGCUUUUAGCGAAGGAGAAAGAAUGUAGUGAAACAACUGCAAGUUUAAAGGAAGCAACGACACUACUUGAAUCGUUGAAAGCUGAAGUAAAUAGGCUGAGGCCAUUUGAAGAACAGAUAAGCAACUAUGAGGAUGAUAUUGAAAUGCUGAGACACACAUCGGAAAAGGAAAGGUGGAAUUUGUCGAGCAAACUCGCCCAGAGUGAGGAACAAGUGAGACACCUCACCGACCGAGUGGCAUUGCUGACGAAAAGGAGCGAGUCCGAUACUGCCGGACUUGUCGCAUCACUGCCACCCGAUGAUCGUGUUCAAGCAUUUCUUGGGGAGAGAGCACUAUUGGAAAGGAGACUGGAGGAAGCUCACGUGCACCUGACUGAUAUUAAAGCUUCUUGGAGUGCACAAAUUUCUUCUUUGGAAACUCAGGUGGGGAGGUUGAGUCGGCAGGCCGGUGAGGAAGGAGCAGAAAGGCGUCUUGCAGAAGCCAAGGUUACGGAGCUCGAAACAAAACUCGAGGAAGAAGCCAAGGAGAAGCAGAACCUGAGCAUCAGGGUGAAAUUUCUCACGGAGCAAUGCAAUACACUUGCCAGUGAGCUGAAAGCGGCGAAUGAUCUUGUUGCAGCAAGAGACGAUGAAAUUUCAAAGUUGACCAAGAAGGUGUACGACACUGAAUUAUUUUCACGACAAUAUGAAGAUACAUCGAAGAAACUAGAAAAUGAGCUUAAACCACUCAAAGAGAAAUACGAGACAACCCAGCAAGAACUUAAUUCUGUCAGACAGGAGUUUGCCGAUGAAAAAUCACGCCUGGAUACUGAAUUAGCGGCGGUACAGGAAAAAUUGACAAACCUGCAAGACGAACUGGAAAAGGAAAAGAACGCCAAAAAUGACGCUUUGCUCAAAAAUGCCCAGGUUUCACAGGAGGUUGACAUGGCGAGACAAGAUCUCAGGCAGCAGCAAGCUGAUGUCGAAGAGUAUCUUAGAAAAGUCAACAGUUUAGAAGAAACGCUUAAACAGAAAGAUCAGAUUUUAGCCAAAAAUGUUCAAGAAAUCCAACAGCUUUCAACUGAACUGGGAAAUAUCAGAGAUAACGAGAAAGAAACGGAAUAUGUUGAAAAGGGUCUUAGAGAUAAAAUCACUGAUCUUGAAGAACAAGUGACUGAGAAAAAUAAGGCGAUUAAAGUUUUGAAACAGAAAUUAGCCGAUAUGAAGAAAACUUUGCAAAAGGAGCUGAAAGUUUGUGAAAAUGACGGCACAGAAAUGAUGAACAGUCAUAACCAUUCUACUCCACACAAGUCAAACUUGAAAGAGAAUGGUGACACGGAAGUAAACUUUCUUUAUAUGAAGAAUGUAAUAAUGAAAUUUUUAACAAGCAGAGAAUACGAGGCUCUUCAUUUGACAAAAGCAGUUGCAACCCUUUUGAAAUUGAGUGCUGAAGAAGAGUGUCUUUUGAAGGACACUAUAGGAUGGAGGAUGUCUUGGUUUAGAUCAAAACCUCCUCGACUAGAAGAUUACACGCCAAGCUGAUAUCCCCUUUAAUCUAUUUUGUUAUAUAUCAUUCCAGGAAAACUUUGGCGCCAUUCUGUGAUACCUACAAUAUUUCCUAGGAUUUAUUGGAAUUUGCCAACUUACGUUCCGUCUGAAGUAGCAACCAUAUGGCAACCAAGGUCUAAUACCAUUGAUUUCUCGAGCAAGAUUGAGACUGUCCACAAUAUUUUAUGUUGUGAACGAAAAGACUUGCUGAUGCACCAUAACUUUAUGUCCAUUUAAUGCGACAUUUGUGCAUCAAGAUAUAAAGUUUCCUGAUUAGGACACGAGUCUGAACUUUGCUAUGGACUACGAAAGGAUCCUUCCAUGCAGCUGAGCAUCUCAGAUAUCAAACCAAAGGGAGACAAUUUAUUUAGCAAAAUUGAACCCAUCUCUUAGCCAUUUGUCUCUUCUAUACUAAUUUGGUCCAUCUGGGACUUAUCCAAGCUAAAUAAAAUCGAUUUAAGCCGA
rnacentral:misc_RNA from 1 species